ACGUAGGUAGCGAGCGUUGUCCGGAAUUACUGGGUGUAAAGGGCGCGUAGGCGGGAAGGCAAGUUGGAUGUUUAAGCUAUGGGCUUAACCCAUAGUCGGGUUCAAAACUGGUUUUCUUGAGUGUAGGAGAGGCAGGCGGAAUUCCCAGUGUAGCGGUGAAAUGCGUAGAUAUGAGGAGGAACACCAGUGGCGAAGGCGGCUUGCUGGGCUAUAUCUGACGCUGAGGCGCGAAAGCGUGGGUAGCAAACAG
rnacentral:rRNA from 1 species